rnacentral:rRNA from 1 species
UACGAAGGGGGCUAGCGUUGCUCGGAAUCACUGGGCGUAAAGGGUGCGUAGGCGGGUUUUUAAGUCAGAGGUGAAAUCCUGGAGCUCAACUCCAGAACUGCCUUUGAUACUGAAAGUCUUGAGUAUGGGAGAGGUGAGUGGAACUGCGAGUGUAGAGGUGAAAUUCGUAGAUAUUCGCAAGAACACCAGUGGCGAAGGCGGCUCACUGGCCCAUAACUGACGCUGAGGCACGAAAGCGUGGGGAAGCAAAGCAGGG